CAGCAGUGGGGAAUAUUGCACAAUGGGGGAAACCCUGAUGCAGCGACGCCGCGUGGAGGAAGAAGGUCUUCGGAUUGUAAACUCCUGUUGUUGAGGAAGAUAAUGACGGUACUCAACAAGGAAGUGACGGCUAACUACGUGCCAGCAGCCGCGGUAAAACGUAGGUCACAAGCGUUGUCCGGAAUUACUGGGUGUAAAGGGAGCGCAGGCGGGAAGACAAGUUGGAAGUGAAAUCCAUGGGCUCAACCCAUGAACUGCUUUCAAAACUGUUUUUCUUGAGUAGUGCAGAGGUAGGCGGAAUUCCCGGUGUAGCGGUGGAAUGCGUAGAUAUCGGGAGGAACACCAGUGGCGAAGGCGGCCUACUGGGCACCAACUGACGCUGAGGCUCGAAAGUGUGGGUAGCAAACAGGAUUAGAUACCCUGGUAGUCCACACCGUAAACGAUGAUUACUAGGUGUUGGAGGAUUGACCCCUUCAGUGCCGCAGUUAACACAAUAAGUAAUCCACCUGGGGAGUACGACCGCAAGGUUGAAACUCAAAGGAAUUGACGGGGGCCCGCACAAGCAGUGGAUUAUGUGGUUUAAUUCGAAGCAACGCGAAGAACCUUACCAGGGCUUGACAUCCAACUAACGAAGCAGAGAUGCAUUAGGUGCCCUUCGGGGAAAGUUGAGACAGGUGGUGCAUGGUUGUCGUCAGCUCGUGUCGUGAGAUGUUGGGUUAAGUCCCGCAACGAGCGCAACCCUUAUGGUCAGUUACUACGCAAGAGGACUCUGGCCAGACUGCCGUUGACAAAACGGAGGAAGGUGGGGAUGACGUCAAAUCAUCAUGCCCUUUAUGACUUGGGCUACACACGUACUACAAUGGCGUUAAACAAAGAGAAGCAAGACCGCGAGGUGGAGCAAAACUCAGAAACAACGUCCCAGUUCGGACUGCAGGCUGCAACUCGCCUGCACGAAGUCGGAAUUGCUAGUAAUCGUGGAUCAGCAUGCCGCGGUGAAUACGUUCCCGGGCCUUGUACACACCGCCCGUCACACCAUGAGAGCCGGGGGGACCCGAAGUCGGUAGUCUAACCGCAAGGAGGACGCCGCCGAAGGUAAAACUGGUGAUUGGGGUGAAGUCGUAACAAGGUAGCCGUAGGAGAACCUGCGGCUG
rnacentral:rRNA from 1 species